AUAUGCUUUGCUCUAUCCUAAUCUUUGUAGAGACUUCAAGAUGAUCUACAAAUGCUAGGCCUGAAAAUCAAGCUGCAUGAGGACCACAUAAAACUUUUGAAGUCCCAAAGCAACAAGUUAGAUGACUCUGUACUUGAAUCACAAGUUAUUCUUGGCAAGUAUCAUUCUUCAAGUGGACCUAAGACUGAGAAUGAGGACCAUUUCAACCUUCAAAGUGAGGAGGAAACAACAGGGCAGAUUCUAAUAAAGCCGCUGGAACCCUGUUGUGGGCGAGAUUUCAUUCCAAGCUGUCAAUUCAAACAAAUGCUUUGUCUAUCCAAGAGUCAUUAGCAUCAGUGCAAGUGGAUCAAAAGGAAACUUCUGUAGUUGGAAUGCAAAAAGGAGGAAAUCCACAAGCAGAAGCUAUCUUUUACCAUUCUCAGAGACUUCAAGAUGAUCCACAAAUGCUAGGCCUGAAAAUCAAGCUGCAUGAG